GACGAACGCUGGCGGCGUGCCUAAUACAUGCAAGUCGAACGCUUCCUACCGGUGCUUGCACCGGGAAAGAAGAGUGGCGGACGGGUGAGUAAGACGUGGGUAACCUACCUACAAGCGGGGGAUAACAUUCGGAAACGGAUGCUAAUACCGCAUAGAUCUUUUUGUCUCCUUGCAGAAAGAAGAAAGACGGUUUCGGCUGUCACUUGUAGAUGGGCCCGCGGCGCAUGAGUUAGUUGGUGAGGUAAUGGCUCACCAAGACGAUGAUGCGUAGCCGAACUGAGAGGGUGAUCGGCCACACUGGGACUGAGACACGGCCCAGACUCCUGCGGGAGGCAGCAGUAGGGAAUCUUCCGCAAUGGACGCAAGUCUGACGGAGCAACGCCGCGUGAGUGAAGAAGGUUUUCGGAUCGUAAAACUCUGUUGUUAGAGAAGAACAAGGAUGAGAGUAACUGCUCGUCCCUUGACGGUAUCUAACCAGAAAGCCAUGGCUAACUACGUGCCAGCAGCCGCAGUAA
rnacentral:rRNA from 1 species